ACGUCCCCCGCGUGACCUCACCGCGGUGGAGCGACGGAGCGGGGAGUGGGAAGGAGGAGAGGGACCGCCCCGCGGCUGGGGGUGACUCCUGGUCUGACCUUCUGCUCGCCCCACCCCCACCCUCAAGGGGAGGAGUUAGAGCUCGGGGUUUGGGGAGAAUCUCGGGGAUGUCGGUCUGCGGCAAUUCCACCAUUUUGCAGUGGUAUCAAGUCUCUGGAAAGUAAAGGAGGCCUUGGAUACGAACGUCAAUCACAGGUCCAGACCGCAGCACCCGCAAUCUCCUGCUCAUUCUGUCAAGACCAACCCUCUCAAAGUAAAGAUGAGAAAACUUGCUCAACGUCACAUUUUUGGAAAUACUUAAAUUUUCCACCAGACCACAUAACAAAGCCAGAGAGCGCUGCCUGGACCCAUAGACCAUACAACAUCACCAAGACUGUGGUAACACAACAGUAAAAGCCAAGUCACCUCUAAUUUGGGAAGAGGAGGAUAAGUCAAACAAUAAACUCUGAGAAGACCCUUUGGAGGUCUUACACCUGGAAGAAAUUCCCUGGAAGGCAAUGCAAGCAGGAUAAUUCUAUGAGUGAAGAAAAUUUUUUUGUAUUUUUUUUAUUGGAGUUCGAUUUGCCAAC